GACGAACGCUGGCGGCGUGCUUAACACAUGCAAGUCGAACGGAAAGGCCCUGCUUUUGUGGGGUGCUCGAGUGGCGAAAGGGUGAGUAACACGUGAGUAACCUGCCCUUGACUUCGGGAUAACUUCAGGAAACUGGGGCGAAUACCGGAUAGGAGCUCCUGCUGCAGGGUGGGGGUUGGAAAGCUUCGGCGGUUGGGGAUGGACUCGCGGCUUAUCAGCUUGUUGGUGGGGUAGUGGCUUACCAAGGCUUUGACGGGUAGCCGGCCUGAGAGGGUGACCGGCCACAUUGGGACUGAGCUCCGGCCCAGACUCCUACGUGAGGCAGCAGUGGGGAAUAUUGCACAAUGGGCGGAAGCCUGAUGCAGCAACGCCGCGUGCGGGAUGACGGCCUUCGGGUUGUAGACCGCUUUCGCCUGUGACGAAGCGUGAGUGACGGUAAUGGGUAAAGAAGCACCGGCUAACUACGUG
rnacentral:rRNA from 1 species